GACGAACGCUGGCGGCGUGCUUAACACAUGCAAGUCGAACGGAAAGGCCCUGCUUUUGUGGGGUGCUCGAGUGGCGAACGGGUGAGUAACACGUGAGUAACCUGCCCUUGACUUUGGGAUAACUUCAGGAAACUGGGGCUAAUACCGGAUAGGAGCUCCUGCUGCAUGGUGGGGGUUGGAAAGUUUCGGCGGUUGGGGAUGGACUCGCGGCUUAUCAGCUUGUUGGUGGGGUAGUGGCUUACCAAGGCUUUGACGGGUAGCCGGCCUGAGAGGGUGACCGGCCACAUUGGGACUGAGAUACGGCGCAGACGCCUACGGGAGGCAGCAGUGGGGAAUAUUGCACAAUGGGCGGAAGCCUGAUGCAGCAACGCCGCGUGCGGGAUGACGGCCUUCGGGUUGUAAACCGCUUUCGCCUGUGACGAAGCGUGAGUGACGGUAAUGGGUAAAGAAGCACCGGCUAACUACGUG
rnacentral:rRNA from 1 species